UUUUUUUUUUUUUUUUUUUUUUUUUUUUCA
rnacentral:ribozyme from 16 species